rnacentral:rRNA from 1 species
CGUGCUUAACACAUGCAAGUCGAACGGUGAACACGGAGCUUGCUCUGUGGGAUCAGUGGCGAACGGGUGAGUAACACGUGAGCAACCUGCCCCUGACUCUGGGAUAAGCGCUGGAAACGGCGUCUAAUACCGGAUAUGUGACGUGACCGCAUGGUCUGCGUCUGGAAAGAAUUUCGGUUGGGGAUGGGCUCGCGGCCUAUCAGCUUGUUGGUGAGGUAAUGGCUCACCAAGGCGUCGACGGGUAGCCGGCCUGAGAGGGUGACCGGCCACACUGGGACUGAGACACGGCCCAGACUCCUACGGGAGGCAGCAGUGGGGAAUAUUGCACAAUGGGCGCAAGCCUGAUGCAGCAACGCCGCGUGAGGGAUGACGGCCUUCGGGUUGUAAACCUCUUUUAGCAGGGAAGAAGCGAAAGUGACGGUACCUGCAGAAAAAGCGCCGGCUAACUACGUGCCAGCAGCCGCGGUAAUACGUAGGGCGCAAGCGUUAUCCGGAAUUAUUGGGCGUAAAGAGCUCGUAGGCGGUUUGUCGCGUCUGCUGUGAAAUCCGGAGGCUCAACCUCCGGCCUGCAGUGGGUACGGGCAGACUAGAGUGCGGUAGGGGAGAUUGGAAUUCCUGGUGUAGCGGUGGAAUGCGCAGAUAUCAGGAGGAACACCGAUGGCGAAGGCAGAUCUCUGGGCCGUAACUGACGCUGAGGAGCGAAAGGGUGGGGAGCAAACAGGCUUAGAUACCCUGGUAGUCCACCCCGUAAACGUUGGGAACUAGUUGUG